rnacentral:ncRNA from 1 species
GGUCAAGAAAGAAAGGGCAUACGGCGGAUGCCUUGGCGCUAAGAGCCGACGAAGGGCGUGGAAAGCUGCGAAAAGCCACGGGGAGCCGCAAGCAGGCAGAGAUCCGUGGAUACCCGAAUGGGGCAACCCGGCGGAGGGAACCUCCGUCACCCUGUGCUGAACCCAUAGGCACAGAGGAGGGCACCCGGGGAACUGAAACAUCUAAGUACCCGGAGGAAGAGAAAGAAACAUCGACCCCCCCAGUAGCGGCGAGCGAAAAGGGGCGAGCCUAAACCAAACCUCUACGGAGGUAUGGGGUUGCGGGACCUUCAAGAAGUAAUUGAAGACCUAGCUGAAGCUGUCUGGAAAGGCACUGCACAGAAGGUAACACACCUGUAAGCGAAAGGUUGAAGAUUAUAGAAGGAAUCCCAAGUACCACAGGACACGUGAAACCCUGUGGGAAUCCGGGGGGACCACCCCCCAAGGCUAAAUACUCUUAGCGACCGAUAGUGAACCAGUACCGUGAGGGAAAGGUGAAAAGCACCCCGGGAGGGGAGUGAAAGAGAACCUGAAACCGUAUGCCUACAAGCUGUCGGAGCGCUAUUCGAGGUUCGAUAUUCGAGAUUCGACGUUCGAAUGCAUGUCAGAUCUUACGGGACUAAAUAAAAAAGACCCCAAAGGAAUGCUUGUAUCGAACCACGAACUUCGAACAUCGAACUUCGAAGCGUGACGGCGUACUUUUUGUAGAACGGACCGGCGAGUUACAUCUAACGUGCAGGUUAAGGCAGGAAAGCCGGAGCCAAAGCGAAAGCGAGUCUUAAGAGGGCGAGAUGUACGUUGGAGUAGACCCGAAACCUGGUGAUCUACCCAUGUCCAGAGUGAAGCUUUAGUAAAAUAAAGUGGAGGCUCGAACCGACCUUCGUUGAAAAGGAGGCGGAUGAGGUGUGGGUAGGGGUGAAAUGCCAAUCGAACCAGGAGAUAGCUGGUUCUCCCCGAAAUAGCUUUAGGGCUAGCCUCGGAUGAUGGCAAGCGGAGGUAGAGCACUGAAUGGGCUAGGGGCCUUCACGGGUUACCGAACCCAAUCAAACUCCGAAUGCCGCGAUGCCAAAUCCGGGAGUCAGACUGCGAGUGCUAAAAUCCGUAGUCGAGAGGGAAACAGCCCAAAACCAACAGCUAAAGGUCCCCAGACAGGCUAAGUGGAAAAGGAUGUGGGGUUGCAAAAACAACCAGGGAUGGUGGGUUUUCCCCCCCUUUUCCCCAAAACUNNNNNNUUUUUUUUCCCUNNUNNUUUUCUNUUCUCCCNNNNUUUCCNNNNNNCCUUCCCCCNCCCCCUCUUUUUUNUUUCUCCUCCCCUUCCCUUCCCCCCUCCUCCNUCCCCCCUNCCUCUCCCCCCUCUUUCCCCCCUCCCUCCUUUCUUCCCUUUUUCUCUCUUCCCACCUAUCUUCUCCCUCCCUCCUCCCCCCUUCCCCCCUCCCUCUCNCCCUNNNUCCUUUCUUCUCUUUUNNUUCNCUUCUCCUUNCUCUUNCUCCNUCUUCUUCUCUCUUCUCCCCCUUCCUUNNUCUCCUUCCCNCCUCUCCUCUCUUCUCNUUNNUCU